UCCGGCUUAUCACCGGCAGUUUCCUCAGAGUUCUCAGCAUUACCUGUUAGCAACAGAGGAUGAGGGUUGCGCUCGUUGCGGGACUUAACCCAACAUCUCACGACACGAGCUGACGACAGCCAUGCAGCACCUGUGCACCUCCCACCCGAAGUGAAGAAACAAAUUUCUCUGUCUCAUAGAGGGCAUGUCAAGACCUGGUAAGGUUCUUCGCGUUGCCUCGAAUUAAACCACAUGUUCCACCGCUUGUGCGGGUCCCCGUCAAUUUCUUUGAGUUUUAAUCUUGCGACCGUACUCCCCAGGCGGGAUGCUUAACGCGUUAGCUACGUCGCCGAAGGUAAACCCCCGACAACUAGCAUCCAUCGUUUACGGCGUGGACUAC
rnacentral:misc_RNA from 1 species